rnacentral:lncRNA from 1 species
GUUUUGUUGGAACACAGCCAUGCCCAUUAUGUUCAUAGGAUCUGUGAUUGUUUUUAUGCUACAAUGGCAGAGCCCAACAGUUAUGACAGAGUGUAUGGCUCAUAAAGCCUAGAAUGUUGACUACUGGUCCUUUACAGAAAAAGUUGGCUGACUCUUGCUCUAGGAGUCAAUUUGAAGUCCUAAACGAAAAACACCAGGGGUUCAAAUACUGAAUACAAACAAGUGAAUGAUUGGAUAAGCAAAGAAGACCUGCAAAUUGGACCAACUACGUAUACUCAAGAAGUGCAUGCCACAAGCUCUGCAUGGGUUUGAAUCCUACUUUACAGGGACACAUGACGGGGCUGCCAUGGGCUGGGAACACUUGGACAAAACCAAAAUCAGAGGAGCCAGAUAGACUACCAUCAAAAUACAACAUGCUGAAUGCUUCAGUUCUGGACAGAGGAAUCAUAUUUUUCCAUAAAUCGCUUUUUUGUGUUGUUCUACUAUGCUGAAAGAGACCUUGAUUGUAAAAGGUUAAAUGGAAGAUGAAAUAGAGUGAACCAACAGAGCUGUUUGCUUCGUGAACUCUGUGGAAGUGUUGAGUCAGCUGCUUGAACUGUUAACUGGAACAUGCAGAGCCUGUUGCUCUGCAGCCUGAAGUCAUUCUCAGUGUCUCUGGUUCCAUACUGGUUUAUGACCAAUGACUAAUGCUUCACCCAUGAGUCAUUAAACCCAUUCUGCACUUUCCUCGUUCCAUAAUCUUCUUGGAAUUCAUCCUUGUGUCCAAUGGUCCAAUGCUUUAUCUUGGUAUUUGGAUGACUGAAUGAACAGAAAUGGCAAUAAAAUGUAUAUGUGAUAUAACA